UGGGGAAUAUUGCACAAUGGGCGAAAGCCUGAUGCAGCAACGCCGCGUGAGUGAUGAAGGUCUUCGGAUUGUAAAGCUCUGUCUUUUGGGACGAUAAUGACGGUACCAAAGGAGGAAGCCACGGCUAACUACGUGCCAGCAGCCGCGGUAAUACGUAGGUGGCGAGCGUUGUCCGGAUUUACUGGGCGUAAAGGGUGCGUAGGCGGAUGUUUAAGUGAGAUGUGAAAUACCCGGGCUUAACUUGGGUGCUGCAUUUCAAACUGGAUAUCUAGAGUGCAGGAGAGGAGAAUGGAAUUCCUAGUGUAGCGGUGAAAUGCGUAGAGAUUAGGAAGAACACCAGUGGCGAAGGCGAUUCUCUGGACUGUAACUGACGCUGAGGCACGAAAGCGUGGGUAGCAAACAGGAUUAGAUACCCUGGUAGUCCACGCCGUAAACGAUGAGUACUAGGUGUAGGAGGUAUCGACCCCUUCUGUGCCGCAGUAAACACAUUAAGUACUCCGCCUGGGGAAGUACGAUCGCAAGA
rnacentral:rRNA from 1 species